UACGUAGGGGGCAAGCGUUGUCCGGAUUUAUUGGGCGUAAAGAGCGUGUAGGCGGCCAUACAGGUCCGUUGUGAAAACUGGAGGCUUAACCUCCAGACGUCGAUGGAAACCGUAUGGCUAGAGUCCGGAAGAGGAGAGUGGAAUUCCUGGUGUAGCGGUGAAAUGCGCAGAUAUCAGGAAGAACACCCGUGGCGAAGGCGGCUCUCUGGGACGGAACUGACGCUGAGACGCGAAAGCGUGGGGAGCGAACAGG
rnacentral:rRNA from 1 species